AUAAAGCAAAUUGCUCAGAAAGCGGAGGGCCAUUUCUGUUUAGCAUCCCUUGGGAUCGCAGCCCAGCAUCCUGUUUCAAGUCACAGUGGCCUGUGGGAAAUCUUCAAGGAGGACCAGAGCAAAAGAACACUCCCCCCGUGGUUUCCAGCAAAUGGUAUUCAGAGGCAUUAUUGCCUCUGCGUGGUGUAGUGGUUAAGAGCGGUGGUGAACCGGGUUCGAUUCCCCGCUCCUCCACAUGCAUCUGCUGGGUGACCUUGGGCUAGUCACACUUCUUUGAAGUCUCUCAGCCUCACUCACCUCUCAGAGUGUUUGGGGGAGGAAGGGAAAGGAGACUGUGAGCCGCUUUGAGACUCCUUAAGGGGACAAACCUAGACAGCAUCUAAAAAAGCAGAGACAUCAGCUUGCCGACAAAGGUCCGUAUUGUUAAAGCUAUGGUUUUCCCAGAGCACCGAAGAAUUGAUGCUUUUGAAUUAUGGUGCUGGAGGAGACUCUUGAGAGUCCCAUGGACUGCAAGAAGAUCAAACCCAUCCAUUCUUAAGGAAAUCAGCCCUCAGUGCUCACUGGAAGGACAGAUCCUGAAGCUGAGGCUCCAAUACAUUGGCCACCUCAGGAGAAGAGAAGACUCCCUGGAAAAGACCCUGAUGUUGGGAAAGAUGGAAGGCACAAGGAGAAGGGGACAACAGAGGACGAGGUGGUUGGACAGUGUACUCGAAGC